ensembl:lncRNA MARCHF6-DT MARCHF6 divergent transcript
GGCAGGAAUGCAGUGGCGCGAUAAUGGCUCACUGCAAUCUCACUAUAUUGACCAGUAUGAUUUUCAACUCCUGUCUUUAAGCGAUCCUCACGCUUCGGCCUCCCAAAGUGCUGGGGUUACAGACAUGUGCCACUAUGCCCUGCCUAAAUAUGUUUAUAUAUACUACCGCCAAAGAAACAAUUUGAAGACGAUCUUUCCCCAGCCCCUCUCCUUCUGAUCCAACUCCAAGAGCUCACCCUCCCUGUAAGACCUGUAGCAGAGCACGUAUUGGCCUGCUGAUACUAGGGGCAAAGACCGGGCCGAUCAGAUGUUACAUGGCAUAAGGGCGAAGGAUUCUGAAAGAAAGACUGAGACUUGCUGGAGGAAGUACUAGUAGUGCCAAGGGCAGGAACUCAACUGUUAGGCAGAAGGGAGGAAUGUACUGUUGAUAUGGACAGACUCCAAGAAGGGGAGGGACUGCUGGGACUACUAGAACGAGAAUGCCUCUGCCCCUAUGGCUCAGCUCUGCAACUCUCUCUGCACAUUGGCUUCAUGCUGUUAGACCAGCUUCCUCCAUAUGUCUGGAAACAAGGCCACUGACAGCUCCCAACAUUUCAUCUUCUGCCUCAUCAUCAGACAGGCGAGGUACACAGAAGAAAGGCCAUGUGAGGACACAGCGAGAAGCAAGUAUCUGCAAGUCAAGAAGAAAGGCCUCAACAGACACCAGCCCUGCCAGCACCUUGAUCUUGGACUUCUGGCCUCCAGAACUGUGAAAGAAUAAAAUUCUGUUGUUUAAGCCACCCAGUUUGUGGUACUUUGUAUGGUAGCCCUAGCAGACUAACAUAGAUAGAGAUUUAUUUUAAGGAACUGGCUUAUGCAACUAUGGAACUUGGCAAGUCUGAAAUCUGUAGGGCAGGUUGGCAGGCUGAAAACUCAGGCAGGAUUUCUAUAUUACAGUCUUGAAGCAGAAUUCCUUAUUCUCAGUGAAGCCUCAGGCUUCGCUCUUGAGGCCAACUGAUUGGAUGAGGGUCACCUACGUUAUCAAGGGUAAAAAUCUCCUUUAUUUAAAGUCAACUGAUUUAAAUGUUAAUCACAUCUACAAAUUAACUUCACAGCAACAACCAGACUCGUGUUUGACCAAACUACUGGACACCAUAGCCUAGCCAAAGUGAUACAUAAUAUUACCCAUCACACUGUCCAUCAAAUUUUAGGAAAGCUCUCGUUUGGAACAGAGAUAAGAGAUACCUUCCUCCACAUUGCUGCCCUUUGUCAUCUUGCUUUGUAGAUAGAAAAAUUAAUUGAUGACUAAGGGGAUUGUUUUUCUAGUCAGCUCACCAAGGCUGCUGUUUGAAUAAGCAUUGGAUCCAGAAUCCAUUUCUUUGAACCCAGCCACCUUGCUGCAGAGACUGAGAAAUCCCGCCUCUAUAUUCAACUCAGUAAGACUGAUCUCUUUGCACAAUGAGCUUGCAAUGUCAUGGUACAGUUUAGGAACACUGAAGUUCACAAACAUGAUAGUAUCUUAUUUAUUGAUUGAAUGUUUACCAAGUACCAGGCAUUGUUCUAAGCACUUAACAUACAAUUUAAUCUGUUAGUCAUACAGUUUAAUCCUUAAAAUAGUUUGUGUGCAGUAGACACAAUUUCUACCCCCUUUUACAGAUGAGCAAAGAGGCAUGGAGAGUUAAGCACAGCAGCAGAGCUCUGAUUUGCACGCAAGCAGUCUGCUCCAGAGCUCAGAGCUCUGCCGCUUAACUACCAUGACUUAACACAUUUCACAAACCAUGACAACUCAAGCAAAGCACUUAGAGUUCACAUAAUAGUUUUAAAUCAAGUAAAAUGGUGGUUUAGAGCAGGGCAGUGUAACAUGUGAUCUGAAUUACAGAAAGGUAGGAAUUAAAAAAACAUUUUAACUUGGUGCAUUGUAGUUGGACCUUAAAAAGCAUUCAAUACAUUGGCAGCCAGAAAUGGACAAGGGAUGGCAUGGAUUUGUUAAAACGAGGUUUUUGGUAUCCUUGAGGGUAGCUUGUAGGUACAGAGGAAC